AUUGAACGCUGGCGGCAUGCUUUACACAUGCAAGUCGAACGGGGUGAGGGGGCAACUCCUCAUUCAGUGGCGAACGGGUGAGUAAUGCAUCGGAACGUGUCCCGUAGUGGGGGAUAACGCCGGGAAACCGGCGCUAAUACCGCAUAUGCUCUACGGAGGAAAGUGGGGGACCGCAAGGCCUCACGCUAUGGGAGCGGCCGAUGUCCGAUUAGCUUGUUGGCGGGGUAAAGGCCCACCAAGGCGACGAUCGGUAGCUGGUCUGAGAGGAUGAUCAGCCACACUGGGACUGAGACACGGCCCAGACUCCUACGGGAGGCAGCAGUGGGGAAUUUUGGACAAUGGGGGCAACCCUGAUCCAGCCAUGCCGCGUGCGGGAAGAAGGCCUUCGGGUUGUAAACCGCUUUUAGUCGGAAAGAAAAGGCACGCCCUAAUACGGCGUGUUCUUGACGGUACCGGCGGAAUAAGCACCGGCUAACUACGUGCCAGCCGCCGCCGUAAAAC
rnacentral:rRNA from 1 species